GAUUGGGCGGACUAUUACCCGAAGUGAUGAUAUUUAUAUAAAUAUCAUCACUGAGGGUAAUAGUUCGCCGAAU
rnacentral:miRNA from 1 species